GUGGAUUAGAUACCCUGGUAGUCCACACUGUAAACGGUGAACACUAGGUGUGGGAGGUGUAAUACCUUCCGUGCCGUAGCUAACGCGUUAAGUGUUCCGCCUGGGAAGUACGGCCGCAAGGUUGAAACUCAAAGGAAUUGACGGGGGCCCGCACAAGCGGUGGAGCAUGUGGUUUAAUUCGACGCAACGCGAAAAACCUUACCUGGGUUUGACAUGCCGAGGAUCCUGAUGAAAGUCGGGAGUGCCCCGUAAGGGGAACUUGGACACAGGUGCUGCACGGCUGUCGCCAGCU
rnacentral:rRNA from 1 species